rnacentral:rRNA from 1 species
AGUCGAGGGGCAGCGAGUAGAUUGCUUGCAAUCUACGUCGGCGACCGGCGCACGGGUGCGUAACGCGUAUGCAACCUACCCAUUACAGGGGGAUAACACUGAGAAAUCGGUACUAAUACCCCAUAACAUCCAGGGAGGCAUCUUCUUGGGUUGAAAACUCCGGUGGUAAUGGAUGGGCAUGCGUUGUAUUAGUUAGUUGGUGGGGUAACGGCUCACCAAGACGACGAUACAUAGGGGGACUGAGAGGUUAACCCCCCACAUUGGUACUGAGACACGGACCAAACUCCUACGGGAGGCAGCAGUGAGGAAUAUUGGUCAAUGGACGCAAGUCUGAACCAGCCAUGCCGCGUGCAGGAAGACGGCUCUAUGAGUUGUAAACUGCUUUUGUACGAGGGUAAACGCAGAUACGUGUAUCUGUCUGAAAGUAUCGUACGAAUAAGGAUCGGCUAACUCCGUGCCAGCAGCCGCGGUAAUACGGAGGAUUCAAGCGUUAUCCGGAUUUAUUGGGUUUAAAGGGUGCGUAGGCGGUCGGAUAAGUUAGAGGUGAAAUCCCGGGGCUCAACUUCGGAAUUGCCUCUGAUACUGUUCGGCUAGAGAGUAGUUGCGGUAGGCGGAAUGUAUGGUGUAGCGGUGAAAUGCUUAGAGAUCAUACAGAACACCGAUUGCGAAGGCAGCUUACCAAGCUACUUCUGACGUUGAGGCACGAAAGCGUGGGGAGCAAACAGGAUUAGAUACCCUGGUAGUCCACGCAGUAAACGAUGAUAACUCGUUGUCGGCGAUACAAUGUCGGUGACUAAGCGAAAGCGAUAAGUUAUCCACCUGGGGAGUACGUUCGCAAGAAUGAAAC